GACGAACGCUGGCGGCGUGCUUAACACAUGCAAGUCGAACGGAAAGGCCCUGCUUUUGUGGGGUGCUCGAGUGGCGAACGGGUGAGUAACACGUGAGUAACCUGCCCUUGACUUUGGGAUAACUUCAGGAAACUGGGGCUAAUACCGGAUAGGAGCUCCUGCUGCAUGGUGGGGGUUGGAAAGUUUCGGCGGUUGGGGAUGGACUCGCGGCUUAUCAGCUUGUUGGUGGGGUAGUGGCUUACCAAGGCUUUGACGGGUAGCCGGCCUGAGAGGGUGACCGGCAACAUUGGGACUGAGAGACGGCCCAGACUGCUACGGGAGGCAGCAGUGGGGAAUAUUGCACAAUGGGCGGAAGCCUGAUGCAGCAACGCCGCGUGCGGGAUGACGGCCUUCGGGUUGUAAACCGCUUUCGCCUGUGACGAAGCGUGAGUGACGGUAAUGGGUAAAGAAGCACCGGCUAACUACGUG
rnacentral:rRNA from 1 species